rnacentral:rRNA from 1 species
UACGUAGGGGCGAGCGUUGUCCGGAAUUAUUGGGCGUAAAGAGCUCGUAGGCGGUCUGUCACGUCGGCUGUGAAAACCCGAGGCUCAACCUCGGGCCUGCAGUCGAUACGGGCAAACUAGAGUGUUGCAGGGGAGACUGGAAUUCCUGGUGUAGCGGUGAAAUGCGCAGAUAUCAGGAGGAACACCGGUGGCGAAGGCGGGUCUCUGGGCAACAACUGACGCUGAGGAGCGAAAGCGUGGGGAGCGAACAGG